rnacentral:rRNA from 1 species
AACGAACGCUGGCGGCAGGCUUAACACAUGCAAGUCGAGCGCAUCCUUCGGGGUGAGCGGCGGACGGGUGAGUAACGCGUGGGAACGUGCCCUCUUCUACGGAAUAGCCCAGGGAAACUUGGAUUAAUGCCGUAUACGCCCUUCGGGGGAAAGAUUUAUCGGAGGAGGAUCGGCCCGCGUUGGAUUAGGUAGUUGGUGAGGUAACGGCUCACCAAGCCGACGAUCCAUAGCUGGUUUGAGAGGAUGAUCAGCCACACUGGGACUGAGACACGGCCCAGACUCCUACGGGAGGCAGCAGUGGGGAAUCUUAGACAAUGGGGGAAACCCUGAUCUAGCCAUGCCGCGUGAGCGAUGAAGGCCUUAGGGUUGUAAAGCUCUUUCAGUGGGGAAGAUAAUGACGGUACCCACAGAAGAAGCCCCGGCUAACUCCGUGCCAGCCGCCGCGGUAACAC